UGCCUUUGGAUGUAAAGCGAGUCUCUUAGGUUUUCACUAUAGAUGCAAGAAAAAGAUCCUCUUCUGUCUGUCUGGUUGUGGCAGCCAAGAUUGAAUGGGGAAACACAGGA
rnacentral:snoRNA from 1 species